rnacentral:rRNA from 1 species
AGUGAACGCUGGCGGUAGGCCUAACACAUGCAAGUCGAACGGCAGCACAGUAAGAGCUUGCUCUUACGGGUGGCGAGUGGCGGACGGGUGAGGAAUACAUCGGAAUCUACUUUUUCGUGGGGGAUAACGUAGGAAAACUUACGCUAAUACCGCAUACGACCUACGGGUGAAAGCAGGGGAUCUUCGGACCUUGCGCGAUUGAAUGAGCCGAUGUCGGAUUAGCUAGUUGGCGGGGUAAAGGCCCACCAAGGCGACGAUCCGUAGCUGGUCUGAGAGGAUGAUCAGCCACACUGGAACUGAGACACGGUCCAGACUCCUACGGGAGGCAGCAGUGGGGAAUAUUGGACAAUGGGCGAAAGCCUGAUCCAGCCAUACCGCGUGGGUGAAGAAGGCCUUCGGGUUGUAAAGCCCUUUUGUUGGGAAAGAAAAGCAGCAGGUUAAUACCCCGCUGUUCUGACGGUACCCAAAGAAUAAGCACCGGCUAACUUCGUG